CAGAGGUGCGAGCGUUAAUCGGAAUUACUGGGCGUAAAGCGCACGUAGGCGGCUCUGCAAGUCGGUUGUGAAAUCCCCGGGCUCAACCUGGGAACUGCGACCGAGACUGCAUUGCUAGAGUAUGGGAGAGGAAGCGGAAUUUCUGGUGUAGCAGUGAAAUGCGUAGAUAUCAGAAGGAACAUCAGUGGCGAAGGCGGCUUUCUGGACCAAUACUGACGCUCAGGUGCGAAAGCGUGGGAGCAAACAGGAUU
rnacentral:rRNA from 1 species